UACGAAGGGGGCUAGCGUUGCUCGGAAUCACUGGGCGUAAAGCGCACGUAGGCGGCUUUUUAAGUCAGAGGUGAAAUCCUGGAGCUCAACUCCAGAACUGCCUUUGAUACUGGAGAGCUGAGUCCGGGAGAGGUGAGUGGAACUGCGAGUGUAGAGGUGAAAUUCGUAGAAUAUUCGCAAGAACACCAAGUGGCGAAGGCGGAGCUCACCUGGCCCGGCUAUGGACGCUGAGGUGCGAA
rnacentral:rRNA from 1 species